AGUGAACGCUGGCGGUAGGCCUAACACAUGCAAGUAGAACGGCAGCACAGUAAGAGCUUGCUCUUACGGGUGGCGAGUGGCGGACGGGUGAGGAAUACAUCGGAAUCUACUUUUUCGUGGGGGAUAACGUAGGGAAACUUACGCUAAUACCGCAUACGACCUACGGGUGAAAGCAGGGGAUCUUCGGACCUUGCGCGAUUGAAUGAGCCGAUGUCGGAUUAGCUAGUUGGCGGGGUAAAGGCCCACCAAGGCGACGAUCCGUAGCUGGUCUGAGAGGAUGAUCAGCCACACUGGAACUGAGACACGGUCCAGACUCCUACGGGAGGCAGCAGUGGGGAAUAUUGGACAAUGGGCGCAAGCCUGAUCCAGCCAUACCGCGUGGGUGAAGAAGGCCUUCGGGUUGUAAAGCCCUUUUGUUGGGAAAGAAAAGCAGCAGGUUAAUACCCAGCUGUUCUGACGGUACCCAAAGAAUAAGCACCGGCUAACUUCGUG
rnacentral:rRNA from 1 species